AGUGAACGCUGGCGGUAGGCCUAACACAUGCAAGUCGAACGGCAGCACAGGAGAGCUUGCUCUCUGGGUGGCGAGUGGCGGACGGGUGAGGAAUACAUCGGAAUCUACUCUGUCGUGGGGGAUAACGUAGGGAAACUUACGCUAAUACCGCAUACGACCUACGGGUGAAAGCAGGGGACCUUCGGGCCUUGCGCGAUUGAAUGAGCCGAUGUCGGAUUAGCUAGUUGGCGGGGUAAAGGCCCACCAAGGCGACGAUCCGUAGCUGGUCUGAGAGGAUGAGCAGCCACACUGGAACUGAGACACGGUCCAGACUCCUACUGGAGGCAGCAGUGGGGAAUAUUGGACAAUGGGCGCAAGCCUGAUCCAGCCAUACCGCGUGGGUGAAGAAGGCCUUCGGGUUGUAAAGCCCUUUUGUUGGGAAAGAAAUCCAGCUGGCUAAUACCCGGUUGGGAUGACGGUACCCAAAGAAUAAGCACCGGCUAACUACGUGCCAGCCGCCGCCGUAA
rnacentral:rRNA from 1 species